rnacentral:rRNA from 1 species
CGGUGGUUCUGCGUGGAAGGGCCAUCGCUCAACGGAUAAAAGCUACCCUGGGGAUAACAGGCUUAUCUCCCCCAAGAGUCCAUAUCGACGGGGAGGUUUGGCACCUCGAUGUCGGCUCAUCACAUCCUGGGGCUGUCGUAGGUCCCAAGGGUUGGGCUGUUCGCCCAUUACAGUGGUACGCGAGCUGGGUUCAGAACGUCGUGAGCCAGUUCGGUCCCUAUCCGUCGCAGGCGGCGGAAAUUUGAGAAGACCUGUACUUAGUACGAGAGGACCGGGAGGGACGUACCUC